GGAUCUAUCUGAAUGGCUAAGAAAAUAUAUAAACACAUACAUACUCACAUACAUAUAUGUAAUUUGAAACACUAUACAAUACCAGAUGUAAGUGUCAUAAUAGUACCAUUAUUUGUAGUUGUAAGUAUUAAGCUCCAACUCUGACUGUGGGAUGUCAGAAAAUUGUGACAUCCUAUGUGAGAAAAAGGGUGGCAAUUUUCCAUGAACUCUUUACCUUGCUCGUCCUUUACUUUUCAAAUUUACUUAGGAAGCCUGCAACCGUGAUGGCAAAACAUAAUGUUGCAGAUCCAACUUCUCCUGAAGCUCAGUGGCAUGAUCUCGGCUCACUGCAACCUCCGCCUCUCAGGCUCAAGAGAUUCUCGUGCCUCAGACUCCUGAGUAGCUGGGACUACAGGCGUGUGCCACCAAUGCCUGGCUAAUGUUUGUAUUUUUAGUACAGAUGGGGUUUCACCAUGUCGGCCAUGCUGGUCUCGAACUCCUGGCCUCAAGAGAUCCGCCUGCUUCGGCUUCCCAAAGUGCCUUGGAUUCCCAAGGUGCUGGGAUUACAGGUGUGAACCAUCAUGCCUGGCCUGUGCACAUCAUUUCAAUAACUGAUAUUUUGAAAACAUUAAGUUUAUCGACAUAAUUUAUAUACAAUAAAAUGUAUUAUUUACAAGUAUGUCUUUCAAUAAGUUUUGGCAAAUUUAUACAGUUAUGUAACCACCAUUUCUGGCAAACCGAAAAGCUGCCAUCUGUCCCUUUAUAGUCAUGUAAUGGACUUUUCUAAAAUGUCAUGUAAAUAGAAUCAUAUGUCUUAAAAAUUUUUGUUUCUAUUUUUGUAAAUUAAAAAAAUUCAUUUAGAAAAUUAUUAUGAGUUAUACAGUCUU
rnacentral:lncRNA from 1 species